AUUAAGGAUCACUUAAAAAUUAAUACAGGUAUUUUGGAUAAUAGUAAUAAUUAUUUUGAAUAGAAUUAUCUUGAAGGACCUUUUUACUAUGGCCUUGGAACUUUCUUGAAUAAUUCCCCAGUGUUCACUAAACUCACUUUUUCUUUUGUGUCACUUUUUCAAUAGAAUAAUCAAGUUUGUCAUUCAUACUUCUAGUGUAGAGCUGUUCUGUGAUUGAUCUACCCUUAGCUUGGGAUAAUGCUUUAUUUAUAAAAUAGCAAUUUCUGCAUUUUCUGUAGGCAUUAAUAAAGUUUGCUAGAAUCAUCACUGAUCUUAGAGUGGAACAGAAAAUACAUAUUUUUUAUCCUUAUAAUGUGCCCCUAAGUAGUAUAAUGUGUGUUUCAUAAAACUUCUUAACAUUUUGAUCUAUUCUUGCAGGGUUCAUGCUUGAACCAGAUCCGGAACAUAGACCUGAUAUAUUUCAAGUGUCAUAUUUUGCAUUUAAAUUUGCCAAAAAGGAUUGUCCAGUCUCCAACAUCAAUAAUUCUUCUAUUCCUUCAGCUCUUCCUGAACCGAUGACUGCUAGUGAAGCAGCUGCUAGGAAAAGCCAAAUAAAAGCCAGG
rnacentral:lncRNA from 1 species